ACCCAAAAUUCUAUCAAAAGAAGAAAAGCGAGAAAAAGUUAUAGAAGAGAACCAUGAGCGUCGCCAAUGUUGUUUUCGCUCCUUCUUCGUGAGAGUCCUCGGGCGUGAACACAACCGCCAUCAUGUCGGGAGGAUUAAGUGUUAUGGCUUUGGAAGAGAAUGAUGUGACGCGGUUCCUGGCCGCGUCCACUCAUCUCGGAUCCAGCAACAUGAACUUCCAAAUGGAACAGUAUGUUUUCAAGCGCCGCCAAGAUGUUUUCUUUCAAUUCAUAGGUGUGCACAUCAUUCAUCUGCGCAAGACAUACGAGAAGAUCUUGCUGGCUGCGCCAUUGCAGCCAUUGAAACCCAGCAGAUGUGUACACCAUCUCUUCCCGCCCCAUGGGCCAGCGUGCUGUGCUGAAGUUUGCCCGUUAUACUGGUGCAACCCCAUUGCAGGCCGCUUCACCCCAGGAGCCUUCACCAAUCAGAUUCAGGCUGCUUUCCGUGAGCCUCGUCUCCUUGUGGUGACUGAUCCCAUCUCAGACAGGCAGCCAAUUACUGAGGCUUCCUAUGUCAGCAUUCCUGUUAUUGCUUUCUGCAAUACUGACUCCCCACUUCGCUAUGUUGACAUUGCCAUUCCUUGCAACAACAGGAGCCCCCACUCCAUUGGUCUGAUGUGGUGGAUGUUGGCCCGUGAAGUUCUUCGUCUUCGUGGAACCAUCUCCCGCAACCUGCCAUGGGAGACAGACGUCAUGCCUGAUCUGUUCUUCUACAGGGAUGCUGAAGAGCAAGAGAAGGAGGAAGCUGCCAAGGCCGAGGCUGCCAAGGCUGAGGCUGAGGCUGCCAAGGUAGAGACCCCUGCUGCCGAGAACUGGGGCGCUGAUGUGAAUGAUCCCGAUGCCGUAGCUGCUGCUGCCGGUGCUGGGACUGCUGCCCCUGUGGCUCCUGCUGCUACCGGGACUGCUGCCCCUGUGGCUGCUGCUGCUACUGCUGCUGCUGUUGCACCAGCAGCUACUGUUGAUGACUGGGGUCAGACUGGUGAUGAUUGGGCUGCUGCACCAGUUACUGGAACUGGUGAUGACUGGGGAGGCGCAGCUGAUGGACCCAACUGGUAAACAGAAAUAAAUGAUAGCUGCUGUA